AACAGUGUAGCUUAAUGGUACAGAGUAGGGCUUGUACCCGAAAGGUUGCUGGUUCGAUUCCCCACUGGGG